AAACCCCCGCCGCCUGGUGGAUCUCUGCGCUCGAUCGAAGCUGCCGCGUGGUCUUCCGGCCGGCGACUCAGCUAUCGAUGAUCAUCCCUCCGCUUGAUCCUCUUUGUGAUUCGGACGCGCUGCUCCAGCCGAUCGAUCGAUGAUCAUCGCUCCCUCAUGCCUCUCUCGACGGAUUCUUCGGAGCCCGUCCCUCGUCGUUCCCGCCUCCGUCGUUGUUUGUGAAGUCGCGUGCCGAGCGAUCGCGUCAACAAGUAUGACGGAGUUGCCAGAUUAGCCACUUCCGUCGAGUAUCCGGAGGAGACUGGCGACGCGACGCAGGGCGUCCCGGGACAAUCCCGAGAAAUCUGCUCGUGUAAUUAUUACCCGCGAGUGAAUUGUCGGUGUUCAGGACUAAAUUGUUUAAACAACGACGUACACUCUCGGCUGCGAAAUUGUCCGCGCGCGGCAUGCACACGCGCGGAUAUCGCGAUUUUUUCCGCGUUUUAUCUUCGUGAAAACCGAAGCUUUCCGCGCGCUCGGUCCGUGAACCGCGAGCGUCUUUAUCGCGCCGACGUCUUUAUUGACUGCCAGGUUCUGCCUUCCGCAGAAUCGGUCCGCGAAUCGUUUAUUUCUCACGCGAUCGAAUUGUAGAACCGCCGAUAAGCCGAGUAAUCGCGCUGUUUUUCCUCGACGGGAGCCGAUGACGUUGCGACGUCACGCGGUUACAUCCGGUUGCACCGUAGACAACACGACAACACGCGCGUGCAAUCGCUCUUCCUAGUCUUUCUUCGGAUUUCUUCAGAGUCCGAGAGGAGAUCGGGCGAUAAGAAGCGCAAGUUAUAGCUCACUAUAAGCUCGAGCUGCUCGCGAAGAGUCCACCGCGCGCGCAAAGUCCACCUACGUCAAACUGACCGUUUCGAUACUGCGAAGUUCUGGCUCACAACUUCGAUUCAAUGCCUCGCAAGCUUGCGAUUAAUGCGACGACAGUCGCCCAAUUCCUUCGUUCCUCGUCACUUUUAUCGCGAUUUAAGCACGAGCAGGUCCACUUCGAUUUUCGCCAGAUGCCGUGAUUUCACUGGAAUUUAUUUAGUAAUUGUCUACACACGCACUUCGGCGUCCACGUUUCCGCUCUUGACGUUUCGUGACGUUUGUGUCACGCGGCUCGGAACGCGAGCGGCGCGCAACGCGAUCGCGCUGUUUGUGGCUGGCGAGCAUAAGAGCAACUGACUCCGAACGGCCACUCCAGAGUCGACCAUCCCCCACCACGUUAUGGGGCACCCUUAUCUGCUGCACUCGACCUGCGGCCAAUUCCUCCUCCUCGGCGAAGGUACUCAGGGACAGACGGCCAUGCCUUGUGUGGGUGCGAGUGCACAAGGGAGGAACGAUCUCCGGAGGUCCGUUCGUGCGGUACCGGCUGCUGACUGACUGGUCAAUUGGCAGAUUGACCUGUUCUUACUAUCCUCGUAAACUUUCAUUCAUCCACCCGCACGUGCCGCUAGCUAGCGGCCGAUAGCCGUCCUUAAGUUUCUCAGGAAACCUGGAUUAUUACAAUACAAAGUGAGUUGUCUUGGAGAAGAGCAACACAUAUUCAUCAUAAUGUAAACGUUUUCAAGUAAUAUUUAAUACCGCAUAUAUACCUAUCUCGCGUCACACUGGAUCGAGUUAAUCAACUUUCAUUUUUCAGUCCACAUUUUGGUAUCGAAAACGAUACAGAGUAAAUUUGAACACGAACAUCAAACGAAAGUUUCUCGCUUUGUGAACCCUCCGAAGAAAAGUGCAUCCCUCUGUGUAUACUUUAUCUGUGUACUUUAUCUGUGCCUAUUUCGACAUCUAGGAUGUUAGUAAUAUCCCUUCGACCAUCUCAAAAGCAAUUUCAAGACGAGGCACAAGAUCGUUCUCUUAAAAAAAAGUGACCGCUACAAACUGUAAGUUUAACAUAUUUAUUUCAACACUUUUAUUAAAAAUAGGUUUCAGAAAAAUUCUGCAGCUUUUAUGUUAUAUUAUUCUGUUGAUUCAUCUCGCAUUGAGCGUGCGCUUGAAAGAGCAGGAAUUACGAUCGAUUAACGUUGCGCCGGCUAUAGGGUCGCUCUUCUGCGUUUCUGCGAAACUUUUUCAGCCCUUUAGCCGACUGUUAUUCCUGCGAACGUGUUUGUUUGAGCCCGUGAGCUCAUCAAAAUGGUGAUUCAUUUCGACAGAUUAAAUCUGUGGACCGCGAGAGUGUCAGUUAGUAUUCGUGACGCCAUUGUUAGCUGCGCGGCGCUUCUUCUUUCAUCGCGAUGACCCGUUGAAAAUUAUUAUACUUCUGUCAAGGAGAUUGAAUAUCUAACACUCGUCUACUCGAUCUUCUACGAUAAUAUUAAUUCUGAUAUGCACCUGUACGGACAUUGUAUGGAUCAGAGAUUGGAUACAAUGAUUUUUGGAUCAGGAUUUUGUGCGACAAACUGCCACAACGGGGGAAGGUAUGCGACCAUGCGAGCGUGAGCUAGUUGUGUAGAGCUCUUUGCUUAGAUCUGUAUUAACGUCUCGACGUUUUAACGUGUUAAUGUCUCCAUCGCUACUCGACUUCGCGACAGACGGGACAUGUGCGAAUUCUUCGUUGGGUACGUCACAGAAAGCACAGAAAUAUGUAUUAUUACUCACAUUGGUACUAAUAGAGCAAUUUUUUAAUGAACAGCUUUUUGCUAUCGUAGCGAUUCAUAAAUAGCUCAGGAAGACGGUUUUUCUUCAAAAAUGACAGUACCUUCGUGUGACGGUUAAUAACUUUUUUCUAAUUAGUACUUAGCAAUUAUUUCCAAUUAAAGACGCAAAAUGUCUAUCGCGUAGAUCGCGUUGAUUUGUGAUCUCUUACUGGUGCAGUACAUUCUAUGAGUUAAUUAUUGUAGCUAAUUGGCAGCACAAAUUGGAGUCUCCAGGAGAAUAAAUUUAUGUUAUUUUUAUUCUAUAACAAAUAGAAUAAUAUUCCCUCACGGUGCAUCACGUAGACGAAGACGAGAGGAGAGAGUUCCUCGGAAAAGAGCAGUUCUUCCGAGACAAAUCUUUCUUUUCUUUCUUUUUUCACGUGACACGCGCGUAGGAUCGACCCAACUAGAAUGGAUUAAGGAUGUAGCGUUCGUUGCAGGCGCGUAGAUCACGAUGAUGAGCCGUAACGAGUGCGUGUCGAGCGAACAGCAGGGCAACACGUACACGCAUGGGGUACGGUGCGCCGCGUUGUGCAGGAGCCGCGAUUCGAGUGCGCGCGCGAGCGGCUUGAGCGAGUUGGAGGUCGGAGGUGUAUAUUGGCCAUUUCCGCAGGAAGCUCUAGGUAACCUGUAACCGCCAUUGAGCUUCUCCGACUGAACGUGGCACGGAUCUGUGCUAUCGUUUCAUAACAUGCCUGCGCGUUCUGGAUCCGCGCGUUGGCGCGUCGCGCCCCCGAAACGCUAAUUCGCUGAUCUCCGCUCCCAAUCUCCGCCUCGAUCCCGACCUUUUCAUUCGCGUUUGCUGCGGCUCGCGCAAACGAACGGCGUUAAUUCUUCCUGCUUGACGUUACGGAGGAUUGUUAAGCUAAACGGCUAAAUAUGUGGAACUGGUGAUGGACCGAGUUUCCGCCCUUUCGAAGCGUUCCAAAGCUCUUUUUUAUGCUGAGAUAGAUAAUCAAUAAUUAAUUAAAAUUUCAGAAGGCUUUAUAAGAAUCUUGUAUCUCUAUAUAAUUAUUUGUUAACGCUCAAAACUCGUAAUUAUUGAUUGUAGAACUUGAUGUGAGUCGAGUUAUAUAACAAAUUGUAUAACAAAAUUGUCUUAUGAUAUAAUAUUUUAUUUAAUUAAUGUUUAAUUAAUUUAUUUUAUUUAAUGUCUUAUAAAUUGUUAUGAUAUAAUAUUAGUUUAUUAUUAAUAUAGAUUAAUUUUUCUGAUAAAUUAAUGUCCAAAUAUAUUUCCAUCAUUUAUAUAGUGAUGAUCGCUUGCAGCUCAGUUUUGAGAUUGCUCCGAGAUUGUAAUUUAAUUUUUCGAUACAUGUAUGAUCGAGAGAAUCCAUCGUAAUUAUGUUUAAUCCGAGAAAAUAGUCUUAAAGAAAAGAAACUUUAUAAAAGUAUGUGUAAAUUAAAUAACAAUAAAAAGUAUUUAUUAUUAA